AGGGCGCACGAUGGAUGCCUUGGUACUGGAAGCCGAUGAAGGACGUGGCUAGCGACGAAAAUGCCCCGGCGAGGUGCAAGCAACCUUUGACCCGGGGAUCUCCGAAUUGGGAAACCACGCGGCCGUAACGGGCCGUCAGCCUCUUACUGAACACAUAGGUUUGAGGCGGGUAAGCGGGCGAACUGAAACAUCUUAGUAGCCCGAGGAAGGGAAAGCAAAAGCGACUCCCCUAGUAGUGGCGAGCGAACGGGGACCAGCCCAAACCUUGUACGUGUCGAAGCUUGUGGGCGUUGCGUACAGGGUGUUGCGGGAAGAGCUUAUCUGCCGCCACAACGGCGGAGGGUGGACGCGGCGUUUAGCCGAAACACCUGGAAAGGUGUGUCAUAGCGGGUAAUAGCCCCGUAGGCGAAAGGCGCUGGCGCAGCCUGGCUCUAUCCCAAGUAGUGCGGGACACGUGAAAUCCCGCGCGAAUCUGGGAGGACCACCUCCUAAGGCUAAGUACUUCCAGUAACCGAUAGCGGACUAGUACCGUGAGGGAAAGGUGAAAAGAACCCCGGAAGGGGAGUGAAAUAGAACCUGAAAUCGUGUGCCUACAAGCUGUGGGAGCCCGGUGGUCCAUCUUUUGGUGGGCCCGGGUGACCGCGUGCUUUUUGCAUAACGAACCGGCGAGUUGUGGUGUGUCGCGAGGUUAAGCGGUGAACCGCGGAGCCGAAGGGAAACCGAGUCCGAAUAGGGCGCCAUAGUGGCACGCUGCAGACCCGAAACCAGGUGACCUACCCAUGGUCAGGGUGAAGCUCGGCUAAUCCCGAGUGGAGGCCCGAACCGUUUCAUGUUGAAAAAUGUUCGGAUGAACUGUGGGUAGCGGUGAAAAGCCAAACGAACCUGGCGAUAGCUGGUUCUCUCCGAAAUAGCUUUAGGGCUAGCCUCUGGUGAUCAGUGGCGGAGGUAGAGCACUGGAUGGGCUAGGGCCCUUGACAGGGUACCAACCCCAACCAAACUCCGAAUGCCGUCACUUCACAGCCAGGGAGUCAGACUACGGGGGAUGAGCUUCGUGGUCGAAAGGGAAACAGCCCAGACCGCCAGCUAAGGUCCCUAAACUACGCUAAGUGGAAAAGGAUGUGGAAGUGCCAAGACAGCCAGGAGGUUGGCCUAGUAGCAGCCAUCCUUUAAAGAGUGCGUAAUAGCUCACUGGUCAAGGUCUUCGGGCCAAGUGCUUCCGCGCCGAAAAUUCAACGGGGCUCAAGCGUAGUACCGAAGCUGCGGACUCGAAAGAGUGGUAGGAGAGCGUUCCGCUGUAGGUUGAAGGAGGACCGUGAGGACCUCUGGACGACGCGGAAGUGAGUAUGCCGGUAUGAGUAGCGAAAAGCUGGGUGAGAAUCCCAGCCGCCGUAAGCCUAAGGUUUCUUAAGCAAGGCUCGUCCACUUAAGGUUAGUCGGGCCUAAGCCGAGGGCGAAAGCCGUAGGCGAUGGACAGCAGGUUAAUAUUCCUGCACCACCGCUCCGGCGCGAGUACUGAAGGGGUGACGCAGCAGGGUAGGUCAACCGCGUCAUUGGUUGAACGCGGCCGUGCUCAUAGGAGGGAUGGCAGGGAAAUCCACCAUCCACUACUCUGAGGUGUGCGGCGAGCCGCCGUAAUGGUGGCGAAGUGAUUGACCCCAUACUGCCAGGAAAAGCCUCUAGGGAAUGCCGGACGGUGCCCGUACCGCAAACCGACACAGGUAGGCAAGGAGAGAAUCCUAAGGCGCGCGAGAGAACCCUCGUUAAGGAACUCGGCAAAAUGACCCCGUAACUUAGGGAGAAGGGGUGCUCUAAUAGCGUGAGUCAUAUAACUUUGAUGAGCGUGAGAGAGCCGCAGUGAUCAGGCCCAGGCGACUGUUUACCAAAAACACAGGUCUCUGCUAAAUCGAAAGAUGAUGUAUAGAGGCUGACGCCUGCCCGGUGCUGGAAGGUUAAAGGGAAUGGUUAGCGCAAGCGAAGCUAUGAACUGAAGCCCCAGUGAACGGCGGCCGUAACUAUAACGGUCCUAAGGUAGCGAAAUUCCUUGUCGGGUAAGUUCCGACCCGCACGAAAGGUGUAACGAUCUGAGCACUGUCUCAAUUACCCGCCCGGCGAAAUUGUAGUACCGGUGAAGAUGCCGGUUACCCGCGACAAGACGGAAAGACCCCAUGGAGCUUUACUGUAGUUUAAUAUUGGAUUUCGGUAAUUUAUGUACAGGAUAGGUGGGAGACACGGAAACUUGCGCGCCAGCGUGAGCGAAGUCGUCCUUGGGAUACCACCCUUAAGUUGCUGAAAUUCUAACCUGCGGCCGUAUAUCCGGCCGGGGGACAAUGUUAGACGGGCAGUUUGACUGGGGCGGUCGCCUCCUAAAAGGUAACGGAGGCGCUCAAAGGUUGGCUCGGCACGGAUGGAAACCGUGCAAGAGAGUGUAAACGCACAAGCCAGCCUGACUGCGAGGAUGACAGUCCGAGCAGGAACGAAAGUUGGAGUUAGUGAUCCGGCGGUAUGAAAGUGGAAUUGCCGUCGCUUAACGGAUAAAAGCUACCCUGGGGAUAACAGGCUGAUCUCCCCCAAGAGUCCACAUCGACGGGGAGGUUUGGCACCUCGAUGUCGGCUCGUCGCAUCCUGGGGCUGAAGUAGGUCCCAAGGGUUGGGCUGUUCGCCCAUUAAAGCGGCACGCGAGCUGGGUUCAGAACGUCGUGAGACAGUUCGGUCCCUAUCUUCCGUGGGCGUUGGAGACUUGAGGGGCGCUGUCCCUAGUACGAGAGGACCGGGAUGGACGAACCUCUGGUGUACCAGUUGUCGCACCAGCGGCACACGCUGGGUAGCUAUGUUCGGUUUUGGAUAAGCGCUGAAAGCAUCUAAGCGCGAAGCCGACCCCAAGACCAGGUCUCCACGAGCUUUGAGCUGUAAGGCCCCUGAUAGACUAUCAGGUUGAUAGGCCGGAGGUGUAAGCACAGCAAUGUGUUCAGCUGACCGGUACUAAUCGGCCGAGCGCUUGGCCG
rnacentral:rRNA from 1 species